rnacentral:lncRNA from 1 species
AAUUAUAUAAUUUAAAUAUUACAAGAUUUUCAUUUCUUCACUUAAAUAAUUUAACAUAAUAAUUUAUAUAUUUGCAUAUCUAAAUUAUAAUUUUUAAGAUGGGAUAAAGUUAUUUUUUAUGAUUAUGUGUACACACAGGAAUGGUGAAUUAUAUUAUCAGAGAACCAGUGAAAAAUCUUAUUAUCUUAAGACUGACACAAAAUUAUUAUUAUGUAUUUAAUGUUGGGUGGUGUGAAGAAGAUUCUAUUUAGUCCUCACAUUAACUCUAAAAACUGUACAGGUUUCUUAUAUUAAUCUUUCUGUUUUCUCCGCGGCCUUUUUUUUUUUUUUUUCAAUAUUGUUAGUGCUUGUAGGAUUCAUAUGCUAUGAUUGAUAUAAGAGUUGGAAUUUUUGAUAAAAACAUAAAAUUGUAAAAAAAAAAUAAAAAAUAUUAAUUGAUUAUAUUUUAGGUAAAAUAUUAGUAAAUUAUUUAAUGAUAAUAAAAAAUAAAAAAUAAUUCAAAGUAAAAAGAUUAGAAAAUGGCUUGGUAGUUUGAAAAUGGUUUGGUAAUUUGAAAAUGAAAAAAACAAGUUUAUUAUUAUAUUACUCUCUGGUAUUGAAGAUACGAAAAUGGUUUGUAAUUUUAUCAAGUGAAAAACAAUUUCACAUCUUUAUCGAAUUGAAACAAUUAUGUGGGUGUUCCAAUUUUGAAGAUUGUUUAUAUUGACAAUAAAAGAAUUAUUUGUAUUGACAAUAUAAUUGAAUAUAAAAUUUUAGAAUUAAUUUAUUUUUUUAAAUAUUGUUAGUGCUUGUAGGAUUCAUACGCUAUGAUUGAUACAAAAAUUGGAAUUUUUGAUAAAAUAAUUUUUACAAAAUCAUUUUCUUUAUGACACAAUCUACUUUUUUAUUUUACAAGUCUACCAUUACGAACAAUAAAAAUGUUUUUUUUUUUCUAUUGUUGUUGGAGGGUUAUAUAAGAUUUCUCAGAUGAAUAUAGCUUCAAGGUUAGUAUUAUCAUCUCUAAUCUAUAGUUUAUUUAUGACAUAAUAU